GACAGAGGGUGCAAGCGUUGUUCGGAUUUACUGGGCGUAAAGCGCGUGUAGGCGGCUUGGCAAGUUGGAUGUGAAGGCCCACGGCUCAACCGUGGAAGCGCAUCCAAAACUGCUUCGCUUGAGUCUCGGAGAGGAAGGUGGAAUGCUUGGUGUAGAGGUGAAAUUCGUAGAUAUCAAGCAGAACACCUGCGGCGAAGGCGGCCUUCUGGACGAUGACUGACGCUGAGACGCGAAAGCGUGGGGAGCAAACAGG
rnacentral:rRNA from 1 species